GUUUGAAUGCUCCGCCACCCAGGCAGAGACUGAGCAGGACCUGCAGAGGGCCCCGAGCACUACUUCCAUGAUGUGUAAUAUGGAGCGCGACUAGAAGGAAACUUUCCAGAGACAUCCACAAAUAGUUAGGCUUGGGCAUUGGUCACACUUAAAAGAAAAAUCCGUGAGAUUUUAAUUAUAGUGAGGGUCAAGUAAGAACCUUUUUUAUUCUCCUUAGAGAUAAAACAAGAAAACAACGCCGUCCCUACCAGCAUUUUAACCCAGGUUUAAUUUCAAUAAGAUCAUCAAUUUAAUUGAUAACAAAAUUAUUCCAGAAGACUUGAAUAGGUCUCGACCCGUCUUGAUGGCAACGACUUCUCAUCACCUUUAGGUUAGCUAGGCCUUAGCACUUUCUUAUCCUUAACUAUCACUAGUGUAGUGAACCACUAAACGCCAGGGAUCUGAGAUGGUAGUGACUGGAGUGGCAGCCAGAAUCCGAAGGUGCCCGAAUCACUUUUCUGUAGCAUCUUGACGCUGGACGCGCGUGCAAUUUUUAAACGGAGCGUUCAUUUUCCAGGGGGAGCCUGUCUCUCUUUUCCUGGUGUUUGUAAAUUGGCUCAGCUCUCGCAGUUGGUAGAAAUGCCCCUGCUACGUGGAAGUAGGUGCUUUCUUAAGGGGUGGGGGUGGGGACGGUGGUGCCCUGGGAAGUUCGGCCUCCGACCCCGAGCCUGGCUUCCCUACCUGCGAGCGCUCCGCCCGGAGGAGCGGCGGGGCUCCGUCCUACUCCCGGGGUGCGGCUGGCUCGGCGACCCCCGCAGCCCCGGUGCAGCCCCGGUGCAGCCUCGGUGCAGCCCCGGUGCAGCCCCGGUGCAGCGCUGCGGGCCACGCGUGCGCCCGGAGGCGAGGGUCNAGAUGCUUGUCAUAUUUGCGGUCGCGCGACUCAGCGGGCUGUGCGCGCGCUGCACUCGCCGCCGCCUUUGUCACCAGCCGCUCGGUCGUUUGCAGGAGUGUUUUCUGGAGUGCGAGGGGACUGCGGGCGGCUGGCGGAGGCCCCCUGGCCGGACCGCCUCCGUCCCUCUCGCCGUCGCCAUAUAUGUUGGGUAAAGGGGAAAAACGGAAGUUUGACGAGCAUGAAGAUGGGCUGGAAGGCAAAAUCCUGGCUCCCUCCGACGGUCCGUCCAAGGUGUCUUACACCUUACAGCGCCAGACUAUCUUCAACAUUUCCCUUAUGAAGCUCUACAACCACAGGCCCCUCACGGAGCCCAGCUUGCAAAAGACCGUUCUCAUCAACAACAUGCUGCGGCGCAUCCAGGAGGAGCUCAAGCAGGAAGGCAGCCUGAGGCCCGCGCCCGCGCCCGCGCCCCCGCCCCCGCCCGGCCCGCUGAGCGACAGCUACCGGGAGGCGC
rnacentral:lncRNA from 1 species